rnacentral:rRNA from 1 species
UACGUAGGGUGCGAGCGUUGUCCGGAAUUAUUGGGCGUAAAGAGCUCGUAGGCGGUCUGUCGCGUCGGCUGUGAAAACCCGGGGCUCAACCCCGGACUUGCAGUGGGUACGGGCAGACUAGAGUGUGGUAGGGGAGACUGGAAUUCCUGGUGUAGCGGUGAAAUGCGCAGAUAUCAGGAGGAACACCGAUGGCGAAGGCAGGUCUCUGGGCCACUACUGACGCUGAGAAGCGAAAGCAUGGGGAGCGAACAGG